rnacentral:rRNA from 1 species
UACGGGGGGAGCAAGCGUUGUUCGGAUUUACUGGGCGUAAAGGGCGCGUAGGCGGUCAGCACAAGUCAGCUGUGAAAUCUCCGGGCUUAACCCGGAAAGGUCAACUGAUACUGUGCGACUAGAGUGCGGAAGGGGCAACUGGAAUUCUCGGUGUAGCGGUGAAAUGCGUAGAUAUCGAGAGGAACACCUGCGGCGAAGGCGGGUUGCUGGGCCGACACUGACGCUGAUGCGCGAAAGCCAGGGGAGCGAACGGG